UACGGGGGGGGCAAGCGUUGUUCGGAAUUACUGGGCGUAAAGGGCUCGUAGGCGGCCAACUAAGUCAGACGUGAAAUCCCUCGGCUUAACCGGGGAACUGCGUCUGAUACUGGAUGGCUUGAGUUUGGGAGAGGGAUGCGGAAUUCCAGGUGUAGCGGUGAAAUGCGUAGAUAUCAGGAGGAACACCGGUGGCGAAGGCGGUUCUCUGGACAGUUCCUGACGCUGAGGCACGAAGGUCAGGGGAGCAAACGGG
rnacentral:rRNA from 1 species